rnacentral:rRNA from 1 species
AUUGAACGCUGGCGGCAGGCUUAACACAUGCAAGUCGAACGAGUGGCGGACGGGUGAGUAAUGCUUGGGAAUCUUGCUUAUGGAGGGGGAUAACUACGGGAAACUGUAGCUAAUACCGCGUACCAUAGGAUGAGCCCCAGUGUGAUUAGGUAGUUGGUGAGGUAAAGGCUCACCAAGCCGACGAUCUCUAGCUGGUCUGAGCGGAGGACCAGGCACACGGUGACUGAAACACGGCCCAGACUCCUACGGAAGGCAGCGGUGGGGAAUAUUGCGCAAUGGGGUAAACCUGACGCAGCCGUGCCGCGUGAAUUAAGAAGGCCUUGGGGUUGUAAAGUUCGUUCGGUAGCGAGGCGUUAACUACAGAAGAAGCACCGGCUAACUCCGUGCCAGCAGCCGCGGUAAUUC